rnacentral:ncRNA from 1 species
UGAAGGGGCGCUGGAUUCUUCCGGCUGAGACAGGGUAAUCGAGCCCUGAAACCCAGGAACCUGAUCCGGAUAAUGCCGGCGUAGGAAACAG